CAUGUGGUUGCUGGGAAUUGAACUCAUGACCUUUGGAAGAGCAGUCAGUGCUCUUAACCACUGAGCCAUCUCUCCAGCCCUGUUUUUUGUUUUCUUGAUGCAAGGUUAUUCUGUGUGGCCCAGGCAAUCCUGAAACUGCUCUCUGCUCUGUAGAUCAGGCUGGCCUUGAACUCACAGAGAUCUGCCGGCCUCUGCCUCCCUAGUGCUGGGAUUAAAGGUACUGGGAUUAAAGGUGGGUGCCACCACCGCUCAGCCAUGGGUAAGUUUUUGUUGUGACAAGGUCUCUUUCUAUGUACCCUACCAGAAUUCACCAUGUAGUCCGGGCUGGCUAGAAACACAGCCAUCCUUCUGCCUUAGGCUCCCAAGUGUUGAGCUAUGGGCACGUAUCACACUCAGCCUCAUUUGAUGAGGGUUUUGACAGAGUGUUUUUCUUUGUCAGCAGUGGGGGUGCGUGCGCUGAAGACAUAGCUCCAUGCUGAGCUUUUGAAACUGGACUUCUUGACUACACCCCAGGAGAUUUCAGGGUGAGUCAGAAUGAAGUAAAGUUGGAAUUAAUUAAGAAGAGAUUUUAACACAGGUCUACACAUGGUAGGGGGUGGGUAAUAGGCAUACAGGGAAUACAACUGUACACACCCAAGCGGGAAUGUGGGUUUCUCAAGAGAGACUCCCUUAAGUAUCUUUACGGUAGCCAUGUAAGAUGUUGGAUGCCUGGAAAUGGUGGCACACGCCUUUAGUCCCAGCAUUCAGGAGGCAGAGGUAGAUGGAGCUUGAGACCAAUCUGGUGUACAGAGCAAGUUCCAGGAUAGUCAGGGCUACUCAGAGAAAACAAACCAGAACAAAGAUGCUGAUGUCAUCUGAAGUUACAUCUCAAGGGGUUGCUAAGGAAUAGUAAUGUGCUCAUUAGAGUGGUUCCUGAUGUGUAUUGGAUAGGAUUGAAGCUGAUAAAGUAAAACCCCAGGGUCACAAGGGUGGUAUGGAGCUUUUACUGUAAACUUUUGUCUGUGACACUCUCAAUAAUUCUCAGGCUUGCAUCUGGGAAAGAACUAACCCCAUAUUCUAAGGUCAUAUAUACUCAGAGUUUAAGCAUGGUUUAUUGGUAUUUUAAUAUUGCUUUUUGUGACUACGUAGUCAGUCUUCACAGCAAAUGUCAGUUGCACUGGAAUUCUUGACUUUUGGCUGGGGAGGGGCUCCUUUCUCCUUACCUUUUCCUGUCUUUCUAGCCAGGCUCAGUGUUUGCAACUUUUAUACUCAACACCUGAAUACUGAAUCUUGCUAGAUGUGUGAGUCUUCUGGCAAGCUGAGUGCUCGCCUCUGUACCUCCUGCCACCUAUUGCUCUAGUCCAGUAUAGCCCUAUGCAUUGUGUCGGCCCUGUGUUAUCCGUGGGUGUUCGAGAGUGGAUAAGACGGGGCUAGAUAGGAGGGUAGGGUUGGGCCCCAGUUUCCACCCUGUAAUGGGCCUUGAAGCAGCUGAAAGGGCGAUGGGUUUGGCGGCACCAGGACUGCAUUGUCUGGGACUGAGACGAAGUGAUGCCAUGCCAAGCGAGGCAGAGUCCAGUGCCGGAAUGCCGAGAGCGGCUGCCUUCGAGCCAUCCAUCCUUUAGCGCCCUCUUCUUGUAUCUCUCUUUCGAGCUCCCUUGGAAGCGAACAGAGAUGCUGAACAGUGCGAAGUUUGACGAUCUCCACUCCCAACACUUCACAGGAACGCCAAAUUUCUACCAGAACUUCAGGAUUCUGCAGGCCUUCUCUCCGCUUGUUGGUUCGCACCUGUGUAUCGCCUCCAUCUGCAAAAGCCCUCACCUCUGUUCCUAGGGAAUGGAAUACAGAGUAGCCUUUUCUCAGCUGUAAAGACUUCUGUCAGAGACCCAAGGCUGUGGAGCCAGACAGGACUUAAAGGAAGUGGCAAAUUCCGGCCUUGCCCUGGGAAGAAGGGCGCCAAAGCUCAGUGGGAGUGGCUUGGCCUGGCUUCAGAGCCCAAGGUUUCCUUUGGCCCUAGGAAUCACAUUCAUGGUGGGAAAUAGUAGAACACUGGCGGAAAUGCUUUCUAAAAAUACCCUUCAAGGAAGGUGAGAAAGCCUGUGUAAAGGAACAAUGACUUAUUUCUACUGGUAUGGUAAAUCUGUAAGGCUGAAUGGAUUAUAGAAAACGCAUUCCCAGCACACCUGCUACUUGGGAGAUUUUUUUUAAGGAGCAAAGCAGAAAAAUCAAAGUCUGUAGGGCGACCCCACCCAUGUGUGAAAAAUACGAGGCCAGCUUCAGAAAGAGAGAUAGUGAUAGGCAAGCAACCUGAAGAUGGUUGAGUCUCCCCUUGCAUGGAACAAGGUUGGGAACCAGCCUAGAGAGAAGAUGGGAAGCAGGUUCUUGAAAGCACCACUUCACUCACUCACAGGCAUCUUGGUAAAAGCGUCAGAGUAUAUCUAUUCACAUGAUCGGCACAUUCCUGAAGGGCUGGAGAUGCUAGGGCAAGGGUACCUAGCCUUUGGAGUUUCACUGCCCCCUGGAGCCCUUGUUAGUCUUGUCCAUUCUGAUCACAGUGAGGCCUUUGGUUCCUGGUUAGGAAUAGAUGCCUCUCAAUGCCCUUUGGCACUUGAGAGGUGCCAAGGUUUGUAGCUGGAGAAAUAAGGAAGGAGUGGAAAAAUCCAUGCUCCACAGGGAAGAGUCAGAGCCCCAUGCCGCCUGGGCCAAAGUUCUCUGCCUAGAAAGGCAGGGCCACAUUCACAGCAGGGCCUCACAGUGUCACUUCCACCUUAACUGCACCGAGAACAGAGGACAAAAGGGUGCAGCAAGUCUAGCAAAAUAAGGUCUGUAAUACUAGGCCACCAUGAUAUGCUAAUAAAGUAGUAAUAAACACAA